UCAAAGGGAAGCUCCGCUACAGCUGCCUGAAAGGCCGCAAGGCUGACAAGACAUGGUGUGCUAACACCUUUGAUUACGAUAAGGAUAAGAAGUGGCAGUUCUGUAGCGAGAAGACCUGUAUCCUGUGCAAAUUUCGAUGCCCAAAGGGGACGAAACGCGUCAACAGUGCAUGCGUCAAGGUAUCACCCCCCUGUGGCCCGAACGCGAAAAAAGUUGAAAACCAAUGCGUACCAAUAUACAAAU